rnacentral:rRNA from 1 species
UACGGGAGGCAGCAGUGGGGAAUAUUGCGCAAUGGGGGAAACCCUGACGCAGCGACGCCGCGUGUGGGAUGAAGGUCUUCGGAUUGUAAACCACUGUCGCGAGGGACGAAGCUCUGACGGUACCUCGAAAGGAAGCACCGGCUAACUCUGUGCCAGCAGCCGCGGUAAUACAGAGGGUGCGAGCGUUGUCCGGAAUCACUGGGCGUAAAGGGCGCGUAGGCGGCCUGGUAAGUACGGGGUGAAAUCUCACGGCUCAACCGUGAGGCUGCCUCGUAGACUGCCGGGCUUGAGCAGAGCAGAGGCUAGCGGAAUUCCCGGUGUAGCGGUGGAAUGCGUAGAGAUCGGGAAGAACAUCGGUGGCGAAGGCGGCUAGCUGGGCUCUUGCUGACGCUGAUGCGCGACAGCGUGGGGAGCAAACAGGAUUAGAUACCCUGGUAG